GAUGAACGCUGGCGGCGUGCCUAAUACAUGCGAGUCGAGCGAACGGACGAGAAGCUUGCUUCUCUGAUGUUAGCGGCGGACGGGUGAGUAACACGUGGAUAACCUACCUAUAAGACUGGGAUAACUUCGGGAAACCGUAGCUAAUACCGGAUAAUAUUUUGAACCGCAUGGUUCAAAAGUGAAAGACGGUCUUGCUGUCACUUAUAGAUGGAUCCGCGCUGCAUUAGCUAGUUGGUAAGGUAACGGCUUACCAAGGCAACGAUGCAUAGCCGACCUGAGAGGGUGAUCGGCCACACUGGAACUGAGACACGGUCCUGACUCCUACGGGAGGCAGCAGUAGGGAAUCUUCCGCAAUGGGCGAAAGCCUGACGGAGCAACGCCGCGUGAGUGAUGAAGGUCUUCGGAUCGUAAAACUCUGUUAUUAGGGAAGAACAUAUGUGUAAGUAACUGUGCACAUCUUGACGGUACCUAAUCAGAAAGCCACGGCUAACUACGUG
rnacentral:rRNA from 1 species